rnacentral:miRNA from 1 species
CAAGGAAUCACUAAUCAUCCCAC